UCCAAGGAGGCGUGCCAGAGCGGCCGAAUGGGACUCACUGCUAAUGAGUUGUCCUCUUACCGGGGACCGGAGGUUCAAAUCCUCUCGCCUCCGCCAACGAGGCGAUCGCGAGUGCGGCGUAAGCCGGGCGAAGCGGGUCGCCACAAUGUACGAGACAAGUGAACACAGGCGCCCGUAGCUCAACGGAUAGAGCAUCUGACUACGGAUCAGAAGGUUGGGAGUUCGAAUCUCUUCGGGCGCGCUCAGGGCAGGCGCGCUCAGGGCAUGAUGCGCGGGGCCGUGGCGUCGGCUCGGCUCUUAUCAACCGCUUUGCUGGACGAGCUCGCCGCGACGGACUGCAACUAAUGCCGGUUACCGAAAUCAUUCGCAGUUGGCCUCCGACGUGAACCCAGCCAUUAACCGCAGGCAGAUCGACGAACCGGCAGUUCCAGCGCGUGUCAGCCUCGAGACCUAGCUUGAACUUACGUAGAUGUAAUUCAGGAAAACUCGCGUAAACCUGAACAUUUGGCCCGCAAUUCAAGAUAGCCUGCAUGUCUGGCCAGCUCGUUCAGGAAAUGGCCUUAAACUUGAAUGGUGGAUCUGGAC
rnacentral:tRNA from 1 species